GGAAAGUUGGCAGAGAGGCUGAAUGCACCUGAUUGCUAAUCAGGCAUACAAUGACGAUUGUAUCAUAGGUUCAAAUCCUAUACUUUCCG
rnacentral:tRNA from 1 species